rnacentral:rRNA from 1 species
AGAGUUUGAUCCUGGCUCAGGACGAACGCUGGCGGCACGCUUAACACAUGCAAGUCGAACGAGAGAAGAGGAGCUUGCUUUUCUGAUCUAGUGGCGGACGGGUGAGUAACACGUGAGCAAUCUGCCUUUCAGAGGGGGAUACCGAUUGGAAACGAUCGUUAAUACCGCAUAACAUAAUUGAACCGCAUGAUUUGAUUAUCAAAGAUUUAUCGCUGAAAGAUGAGCUCGCGUCUGAUUAGCUAGUUGGUAAGGUAACGGCUUACCAAGGCGACGAUCAGUAGCCGGCUUGAGAGAGUGAACGGCCACAUUGGGACUGAGACACGGCCCAGACUCCUACGGGAGGCAGCAGUGGGGAAUAUUGCACAAUGGAGGAAACUCUGAUGCAGCGAUGCCGCGUGAGGGAAGAAGGUUUUAGGAUUGUAAACCUCUGUCUUCAGGGACGAAAAAAGACGGUACCUGAGGAGGAAGCUCCGGCUAACUACGUGCCAGCAGCCGCGGUAAUACGUAGGGAGCGAGCGUUGUCCGGAAUUACUGGGUGUAAAGGGAGCGUAGGCGGGAUCGCAAGUCAGAUGUGAAAACUAUGGGCUUAACCCAUAAACUGCAUUUGAAACUGUGGUUCUUGAGUGAAGUAGAGGUAAGCGGAAUUCCUAGUGUAGCGGUGAAAUGCGUAGAUAUUAGGAGGAACAUCAGUGGCGAAGGCGGCUUACUGGGCUUUAACUGACGCUGAGGCUCGAAAGCGUGGGGAGCAAACAGGAUUAGAUACCCUGGUAGUCCACGCCGUAAACGAUGAUUACUAGGUGUGGGGGGACUGACCCCUUCCGUGCCGCAGUUAACACAAUAAGUAAUCCACCUGGGGAGUACGACCGCAAGGUUGAAACUCAAAGGAAUUGACGGGGGCCCGCACAAGCAGUGGAGUAUGUGGUUUAAUUCGACGCAACGCGAAGAACCUUACCAAGUCUUGACAUCCCUUGACAGGCAUAGAAAUAUGUUUUCUCUUCGGAGCAAGGAGACAGGUGGUGCAUGGUUGUCGUCAGCUCGUGUCGUGAGAUGUUGGGU